AUUUUCCCAGAAGCAGAACAACCUUUGGCUUGACUCCUGACUCUGGCUCUGAUCUUUGGCUUAGCACUUCGGUUCCAGGCUCCUGGCUGUAAUCAUUAGGUCUCACCACCCAUGGCCCCGUCCCUACGCAUUUCAGGGAUGAGAUCCUCCAACCCCACCCCAUUCCAGAAGGGAGUAAGACUGAAGGGACGAUUAGCUGUUGAGCUGAAGCCUGCCUUAGUGAACCCCCGGAGGCAGACUUCCUCUCCCUCCCCACUUCUGCCAGGAGAAUUGUGGCCAUGUCAGAGCAUCAGGAAGCUCCAGGGUGAGCUGUGCUCUAGGCAAACCACUACAGAUUUGGUUGAGAAUGCAAGUAUAACCUAGUCCGUGUGCAAGGGACCUAGUCAAGCCUUGAAAAGAAAAGGGGUGGAUACCCUAAAGCAAAUGUCUCUCCUUCCCCGUAGCUGGAUGGCUAUGGAUCCACUGCUAAAAUGGAUGGCUGAGCAGAACACUCAAUACCAGCAACAACAAAUCUUCCAGCAAAUAGCCAACCACCAGCAGCCAUUUAAUACAUGAUCUAAUGGUCCAAUAGCAGCAACUACUACAAUAGGUGAUCACUGUACUAUGGCUGCCUACUAUAGCAGUAUUGGCAAAACUUGAUUCAGCAGUAGCCUCUUUCUCGUCAGGCGUACAAAGAGGAGGCCCGACAACAAGGCCUUCCUUGAAACUUUGGGGCAAAUGGCACCUGCAGCUCAGUGACCCCUUGAACAAUAGGCAGCUUUGCUCAAUCCCAGUUAAGUAUGGGGCCAGCAAACAGCUAAUCUUGCUUUUAGACCUUGUCACUGUCUGAAAUUAUAUGCAGGUCAGCAGCAUCUUUGAUACUCUGGACAUCUCAUAAGAGACACUCCACAACAUUUCUGGGAAGAAUGGUAUCCUUUCAGAGCACAGUCCUGCAUGAUU